rnacentral:lncRNA from 1 species
UUACACAUCUGAUUUUUUAAAUGCUUCUCCUAGCUACGUUAGAGCAAUCAGCAGCUGAAGAAGUGAGGUCUAGUGUGAAGAAUUAAACAAACAAAAACCUAUUAGGUUUCUUUUACAUUUACUCUAGCUUGUAACCUGCCGUCAUAUGCUCAACUAAUAAAUAAAUUAAUGAGCCUGAUACCGUGUGAAAUCUAGUGUAACGGAGACCUGCUUUUCCUUCUGGGAGCCCUCAUAUGAGAACAAAAAUUACCACACGUGGGAGGAAUGCAGUACGUGAAUACCAACGAUGGUGAUUACUGGAAAAGCUGACCUCCAGUUUCUGAUCAAGGCAUUUUAACAGGAAAAAGCCUACAUAAAAGUGUAAGGUGGAUAACAUUUGUGUUUUGAACAUCUGGCUUCGUUUUUUUACCAAUUUAUCUCCUCAAUCAAUCCUCUUACUCCCCAGACACCCUCAUUUCCUCUAUCAAUCAUCUUGAACCCAUCUCCACCUCUUCCCUUGGGACCUUGCUGCAUCCAUUCUCCUUCCUCAAGCAUAUUCAGUCUCCCCUUCCCACAGGCUUACAUCUUUCUGCCUGUGAACACAUUCGGAACACCUAUUUAAAACUGAAAAAUUAAGCAUUUACUGUUGUUGCCUCUUAUCCCUGUUACUCCCCAGAGUUGUAAACCUAGGAUUAAAAUAUUCCUUUGCAUAUCAACACACACAUACUGGCAGUCUCUUCUGAAACUCAGCUCGGCAGGGACUCAAUACACAACCAGGCCUUGGAAUUUUAGAUCUGAAAAGGCUCAUUAUUUCUGACCUUUAGCAUGGGGCUACUACCACUGGAAAAUUUUAGGUACCAGUAUGAGGUCCGAAGAAAUUCAAGUAUUAGGCAUCUUUUUUAAAAUUUAUCAUUUAACAUAUAGUGUGCUAGAAGUUUCAGAGGUAGAGUUCAGUGAUUCAUCAUAUAACAGUGCUCAUUACCUCAAGUGCCCUCCUAAAAGCCCAUCACCCAGUUACCCCAUCUCCCUACCCACCUCUUCAAAGGUAUUGGGCAUUUCUUAAUGCUCAAAGGCUUUCUAUAUUAAAGUGGAGCUAUUCACAGAGACCCUACCUCAUUUUCUAUAAAUUGGUAUACAAUCAACAAUGCUAUUUAUUUUAUAUCGUUUUUUAGAGUAGGUUCUACUUUUUUAAAAUGAAUAUAUAUAUAAGGAGAUUUAAUAUUACUACCAUAAUUGGGCAACUAAUAUAAUUUGCCACAAUUAGUAGGAAAGGCCACAGUUUCAUCUCUAUUAUCAUGAAAAGAAAUACAUAAAAUCCCUCAGCAUAUACCGCUGUCAAAUAUGCUAGAGUCAACACUUCUUCACCGUUAUUGUAAUGAUAGGUUAGGCCGUUUAUAUUUCUGUCACUAACGUUUUAAGGUGUAAACCUAGACUCCAACAUCUCAAUGUAAAUUGUAGUUAUUAACACAUUUAAAAACAUAUUUCCAAAUGCAUGCUCUUAAAUUUCAAAGUUUGAGAUUUUUAGGUUCGUGGGUUGUUUUCCAAACUGCUUUAUCCCAUAAUAGUUUUUUAGUGUCUCGGGAUCAUAAUGUAAUUUUAAAUGUUUAACAUUUUCACUGAUAGAAGGACAAUUUCUCUUUCUUCUGUCUCAUUGUUAGUGUAUAGAAAUGCAACUGAUUUCCGUGCAUUGAUUGUGUAACCUGCCACAUGUCGGGUUGCUGAGGCUAGGACUUCUAGUAGUAUGUUGAACAACAGUGGUGAGAGGGGGCAUCUCUGUCCUGUUCCUGACCUUAGGGGAAAAAGCUCUCAGUUUUUCCUCAUUGAGGAUGAUAUUUGCUGUGGGCUUUGUGUAGAUGGCUUUUAUAAUAUUGAAGUGUGUUUCCUCUAUCCAUACACCGUGGAGAGUUUAAUCAAGAAAGGAUGCUGCAUUUUGUCACACACUUUCUCUGCGUCAAUUGAGAGGAUCAUACGGUUCCUGUCCUUUCUUUUAAGGUGACAUAACAUGCUGAUUGAUUUGCAAAUGUUGAACCACUACAAUUUGAUGCUUAGAUUUGGAUUCUGACUUUACCACUUAUUAGCUUUGGAACCAGGUGCAAAUUACACAAUGUUUCCAAAACUCAGUCUCCUCCUCCAUAAACUAGAAUAAGUAACUACAUCAUAGGGUUGCCAUGAGGACUAAAUGAUAUAAAAACACCCAUAAAGCACUGAGCAAGCACAUGCCAUCCAAUAGCAUUACAGGUGUUCUCACAAUCCUCUUCUGGUCAUCAUAAUCAUCAUUUUAGGCUGGAGCUUUUAAGACCCUAAUUAUCUUCAGGGUUAGCCAUUUAAAGCUUACCUCAAUUUGAUUCAACUGCAGUGUUAGAAAUGGAACCUUACACAGAUUAAAAUAGCAAAACGCAAACAGUCCCUUCCAUUAUAGAAGUACCGGCUGGAAAUACUGAAAAUCUAGUAAGCAUUUACAAUAGUAUGAAAAAGUGCUAUGAUCUAAGAAAUAAAUGGCACUAUGGGAGCUGACGGUAAGAUAACCUGGCCAGAAGGAGCUGGACAGAGAAGUGCCAAGAUUUCAAGCUGAGGCAAGGAGGUAGCAGUUCUGUAGCAAAUAAGAGGUACAUUCAAGGCACUGAAAGUAGCUGAAUAUGAGCCGAGGAUGGCUUAAGAGGUGGGUGGAUGAGGAGUCUGCAGAGGCAAAGGGCACGAAAUUGGAGUCCUCUCUAGAAUACACGGCGGCAGGAGGUGGGUGGUGGGUCAGGCGAUUGGAAGCUGUGGAAAAAUUUUAAGCAGAGAACAGUGUGAUCAGAUUUGCAUGGAUGGAUGCACUGUGGAUGAAAUGGGAGUUCCUGGUAGAAGAACGUCUAUAGUAGGGAGGCCAGUUGAGCCUCUCAUCAAGAUGACCAACGUGUUGACUGGCACAGGAAGCUUGACGGGUAAAAAGUGGACUGAUUUUAUUUAGAAAGGAAAAAGGAGAGAACUCAUGAUUCACUUGUUGCACUGCAAGGACAAAAUUCAGAAUUACUUCCAGGGUUUUGAAAUUUAAUUGUGGGGAAGUUAUACAGUCUCCCAAGGUAGGGAACAUUGGAGGGUACUAGGGCAGGGAUGAGACAGGCAAGACAAGUCCAAGGGAAAUAAUGAAGGAGAACUUCAGAAAUACCGUAAGUGAGCUUCUGUACAUGCUGAGGAUACGAAGAGAAGAGAGGGUCUCUGCCGCCCACCAGCAUAUAGGCCAGGAUGAGGAUUCUCAACACUAAAUCAUUUAAAAACUCUUAGUGGAAUUUCCCUUGAUUUCUUUUGGUUUGCUGUAAACACUGAUACCCAGAACCUACUCUAUUUCAGAAUCUCAGGUGUUUUCACUGUGUAGCCAGAAUUACACCGCUGGGCAUUUUAGACUACAGGUACACCACUGGGCAUGUUAGACUACAGGUACAAUUCUGAUGUAGGUAAUUUCUGAAUUAUACUUUAGGAAACCCUAUUCAGAUGCAAGUUAUUUGUUCCAUUUUAAAUAAACCCCUUUUUUGAACAUGUAUUUUGAAACACACUCUAUAAUCAAUUCCAAUAUUUUUGAAGACUGUAUUUUUUAAAGAUUUUAUUUAUCUAUUUGAGAGAGAGAGAGUCAGCACAAAUGCCCCCAAGAGCAGGAGGGGCAGAGGGGCAGAGCAGGGAGCCUGAUGCGGGGCUUCAUCCCAGGACCCUGGGAUCAUGACCUGAGCCAAAGGCAGAUGCUUAACCAACUCAGCCACCCAAGUGCCCUGAAGACAGUACUUCUUAAUGUUAGAUUUUUCUCUUUGGAUCCAGAUUAUGUAGCUGUGCCUAGGAUAAUCAGGACCCACUAUUAGAACGAUUCCUACUAUAGGAGAUUCUAUUCCCUUUUAAGUCUUAUUAAUGAUAUCAAAUGUUUUAUAGAGUUGAAGAACAGAUUUUCCAUAAAUUGUAUUAUAGAACUUUGCCAAAUCACACUCAUCCUUAUGGCAAAUGAUACUGCUAGUUAGGAAAAUAAAACAAAAGGAAAUUGUAUUACUUGACAAUCCAGUUUCUGCACAUAUUUUAUUUAAUAACUGGUAUUCCUUAACAAAAAGCUAAUUAGGUUUUUAAAAAACUCAGUUAAUUGAUGACUAUUUCUUAUUGGUUUCAGACUAUCCAUCCUAAAGCACAGAAUCUCAAAAAAAUCUGACUGACACAAGGGGCCAUGUGAUACAUAGUAGAGACUCUAGGCUGCAGACUGCCUGAGUCCACAUCCCAGUUCCCCAACUUGGGCGUGUAUUAUCAUCUUUUUCUCUUCCUCGUCAGUCUAAUUUACACUACUGACCCAACAAAUAUUUGUAUAUGAACAUAAUGUCAUAGUU